AGAGUUUGAUCCUGGCUCAGGAUGAACGCUGGCGGCGUGCUUAACACAUGCAAGUCGAACGCACCUUCGGGUGAGUGGCGGACGGGUGAGUAACGCGUGGGAAUCUGCCCUCAGGAGGGGGAUAACGGCUGGAAACGGCCGCUAAUACCCCAUAUGCCGAGAGGUGAAACGAAUUUCGCCUGAGGAUGAGCCCGCGUCUGAUUAGCUAGUUGGUGGGGUAAUGGCCCACCAAGGCAACGAUCAGUAGCUGGUCUGAGAGGAUGAUCAGCCACACUGGGACUGAGACACGGCCCAGACUCCUACGGGAGGCAGCAGUGGGGAAUUUUCCGCAAUGGGCGAAAGCCUGACGGAGCAACGCCGCGUGAGGGAUGAAGGCCUCUGGGCUGUAAACCUCAUUUCUCAAGGAAGAAGACAUGACGGUACUUGAGGAAUAAGCCACGGCUAAUUCCGUGCCAGCAGCCGCGGUAAUACGGGAGUGGCAAGCGUUAUCCGGAAUUAUUGGGCGUAAAGCGUCCGCAGGCGGCCCUGUAAGUCUGUCGUUAAAGCGUGGAGCUUAACUCCAUUUAAGCGAUGGAAACUACAGGGCUUGAGUGUGGUAGGGGCAGAGGGAAUUCCCGGUGUAGCGGUGAAAUGCGUAGAUAUCGGGAAGAACACCAGUGGCGAAGGCGCUCUGCUGGGCCAUAACUGACGCUCAUGGACGAAAGCCAGGGGAGCGAAAGGGAUUAGAUACCCCUGUAGUCCUGGCCGUAAACGAUGAACACUAGGUGUCGGGGGAAUCGACCCCCUCGGUGUCGUAGCCAACGCGUUAAGUGUUCCGCCUGGGGAGUACGCACGCAAGUGUGAAACUCAAAGGAAUUGACGGGGGCCCGCACAAGCGGUGGAGUAUGUGGUUUAAUUCGAUGCAACGCGAAGAACCUUACCAGGGUUUGACAUCCUGCGAAUCCCUUGGAAACUAGGGAGUGCCUUCGGGAGCGCAGAGACAGGUGGUGCAUGGCUGUCGUCAGCUCGUGUCGUGAGAUGUUGGGUUAAGUCCCGCAACGAGCGCAACCCACGUCUUUAGUUGCCAGCAUUCAGUUGGGCACUCUAGAGAGACCGCCGGUGAUAAACCGGAGGAAGGUGUGGAUGACGUCAAGUCAUCAUGCCCCUUACAUCCUGGGCUACACACGUACUACAAUGCUACGGACAAAGGGCAGCAAGCUCGCGAGAGUUAGCAAAUCCCAUAAACCGUGGCUCAGUUCAGAUCGUAGGCUGCAACUCGCCUACGUGAAGGAGGAAUCGCUAGUAAUCGCAGGUCAGCAUACUGCGGUGAAUACGUUCCCGGGCCUUGUACACACCGCCCGUCACACCAUGGAAGUUGGCCAUGCCCGAAGUCGUUACUCCAACCCUUGUGGAGGAGGACGCCGAAGGUGGGCUGAUGACUGGGGUGAAGUCGGAACAAGGUA
rnacentral:rRNA from 1 species